CCUACGGGAGGCAGCAGUGAGGAAUAUUGGUCAAUGGGCUUACGCCUGAACCAGCCAAGUCGCGUGAGGGAAGACUGCCCUAUGGGUUGUAAACCUCUUUUGUCAGGGAGCAAGUGGUGCUACGUGUAGCGUUAUCGAGAGUACCUGAAGAAAAAGCAGCGGCUAACUCAGUGCCAGCAGCCGCGGUAAUACGGAGGAUGCGAGCGUUAUCCGGUGUUAUUGGGUUUAAGGGGUGCGUAGGGGGAAUGCCAAGUCAGCGGUAAAAUCGCGGGGCUCACCCUCGCUCCGCCGUUGAAACUGGCGUUCUUGAGUGGGCGAGACGUAUGCGGAAUGCUUUGUGUAGCGGU
rnacentral:rRNA from 1 species